rnacentral:rRNA from 1 species
UACGUAGGGUGCAAGCGUUGUCCGGAUUUAUUGGGCGUAAAGAGCGUGUAGGCGGUUAGGUAGGUCCGUUGUGAAAACUCGAGGCUCAACCUCGAGACGCCGAUGGAAACCAUCUGACUAGAGUCCGGAAGAGGAGAGUGGAAUUCCUGGUGUAGCGGUGAAAUGCGCAGAUAUCAGGAAGAACACCCGUGGCUAAGGCGGCUCUCUAGUACGUGACUGACGCUGAGACGCGAAAGCGUGGGGAGCGAACAGG